CGCGGCCGGAAGUGCUUUUCCGCCGGAAGCGGAAGCCGCCCUCCCAUGCUGCGCGCGCGGCGGGCGGCGGUGGCGGCGCUGGCUCGGGUGGCGGAGGCGCUGCCGGGGCGCCCCUGCGGCUCCCGCCUGCGGCUCCCCGGCGGCGCGGCGGAGCCGGAGCCGGACCCGCGAGGCUGGCGGGAGGCGGUGGCGGCCGCCGUCAGCGCCCUGCAGGCGGGCGGGCUGGUGGCGGUGCCCACGGACACGGUGUACGGCGUGGCCUGCCUGGCCCAGGACCCCGGCGCCGUACGGAGCAUCUACAGCCUGAAGGGGCGGAACGGGAGCAAGCCGCUGGCCAUCUGCCUCGGGGACGUGGACCACAUCUACAGAUACUGCCAUGUGAACGUGCCGGAUGAGCUGCUGCGGGACCUGCUUCCAGGACCUGUGACCCUGGUCUUAAAGCGUUCAGAAGAACUAAAUAAAGACUUGAAUCCUUUCACAUCGCUGGUUGGUGUUCGUAUUCCAAACCACCCGUUUAUUAGGGAGCUGGCACGAGCUUGCUCUGGACCACUGGCUUUAACGAGUGCAAACAUCAGCUCUCAGGCAAGCACGCUGACAGUUUUGGAAUUCCAAGACCUUUGGCCUCAGUUGUCCUUAAUCAUUGAUGGAGGCCCAGUAGGGGAUGUCCAGAGCCCAGAAUGUCGCCUAGGGUCAACUGUGAUUGACUUAUCGGUAUCGGGGAAAUUCAGCAUCAUUCGCCCUGGCUGUGCGCUGACAUCUACAGUUGAAAUCCUGAGGCAGAAGUAUGGCUUGAUACCAGAAUCAUCUUGAGACUUCAGAUUCUGAGGAAGCUCUGCAGAGCUGUAACUGGAGGAGGAGGAGGGCCCAAACAACAGGCAGGAGCCUCACCUUUAUGGCGUAUCUGUGUGCAGCAUCCAGUAUAAAUGGCACAAGGCUGUCAGAUGGCUCCCCGUUCUCAUCUGCUAGGCCGGAAGACAGCGUUUGAGCCCUGGGUAGGAGACCCUCCACAAUACGGUCUGAACUCCUGGCUCCGAGACGGCUGCAGGCGCCUCUAUAACCGGCAGCAGUAUGGGGGAUGAGUGCCGGCUGAAUCCUGCAGCUGGGAGCAGGGAGAGGCGCUGUGCCCGGGGCGCGCUGUGGGGCGCUGCUUGUCUGAGCUGGUACUCGACGACGCAGGUAAUAGCUCAGCUUGGAGAAUUGCACUUUUUCUGGGCCUGGCUGGUCCCCGCUCCUCGCAGAUGUUGGACCUGGAGCCCUGCGCCGUCCCGCGGCUGCGGCAGCGCCGGGAGCAGCCCCGGGAAGCGGCCGAGCGCCCACGGACGGAGCUGGCCCGGCCCCGGGGAGGCCUCCUCGCCCUGCGGAGGGGGCCUGGGGCUGCUGCGGUGCUCCGGGGCGCCCGGCAGCAGUGACCGCGGGAGCAUCCCCUGCCGUGACACCGGCCCCGGGGGACCGUUCCCCCGCCGGGAUGCUGCCCUGGGGGACCGCUCCCUGCCGGGAUGCUGGUCUGACCCAGGGGACCGUCCCCUGCCAGGAUGCUGCCCUGGGGCACCGUCCCCUGCCGGGAUGCUGGUCUGACCCAGGGGACCGUCCCCUGCCAGGAUGCUGCCCUGGGGGACCGCUCCCUGCCGGGAUGCUGGUCUGACGCACGGCAGCCUCCCCCGCCGGGAUGCUGCCCUGCAGGGACCGUCCCCCGCUGUGCCCCUGCCCCGCGUCCCCCGGUGCCGCUCGCUCGGCCGUGCUGCACGGGCUGUCCCUGGUGAUAAGCCGAUCCUGAUAACCAGUAAAUCCAAUAGACUCAGUUCAAAAAGCUGCUCCCUUUCCUUCACCUCAGCAGUAGCUUUUCAGUCAUUCCCUCUUGCCAAAGAAAAAUUCAUGAGAUCAUUUCCCCAAAACAACACGAUACUUCAGAAUCGUAAUUAAAAUACUUCUGGCUGCUCUAA